rnacentral:rRNA from 1 species
GACGAACGUUGGCGGCGUGCUUAACACAUGCAAGUCGAACGGAAAGGCCCUGCUUUUGUGGGGUGCUCGAGUGGCGAACGGGUGAGUAACACGUGAGUAACCUGCCCUUGACUUUGGGAUAACUUCAGGAAACUGGGGCUAAUACCGGAUAGGAGCUCCUGCUGCAUGGUGGGGGUUGGAAAGUUUCGGCGGUUGGGGAUGGACUCGCGGCUUAUCAGCUUGUUGGUGGGGUAGUGGCUUACCAAGGCUUUGACGGGUAGCCGGCCUGAGAGGGUGACCGGCCACAUUGGGACUGAGAUACGGCCCAGACUCCUACGGGAGGCAGCAGUGGGGAAUAUUGCACAAUGGGCGGAAGCCUGAUGCAGCAACGCCGCGUGCGGGAUGACGGCCUUCGGGUUGUAAAACCGCUUUCGCCUGUGACGAAGCGUGAGUGACGGUAAUGGGUAAAGAAGCACCGGCUAACUACGUGCCAGCAGCCGCGGUGAUACGUAGGGUGCGAGCGUUGUCCGGAAUUAUUGGGCGUAAAGGGCUCGUAGGUGGUUGAUCGCGUCGGAAGUGUAAUCUUGGGGCUUAACCCUGAGCGUGCUUUCGAUACGGGUUGACUUGAGGAAGGUAGGGGAGAAUGGAAUUCCUGGUGGAGCGGUGGAAUGCGCAGAUAUCAGGAGGAACACCAGUGGCGAAGGCGGUUCUCUGGGCCUUUCCUGACGCUGAGGAGCGAAAGCGUGGGGAGCGAACAGGCUUAGAUACCCUGGUAGUCCACGCUGUAAACGGUGGGUACUAGGUGUGGGGUCCAUUCCACGGGUUCCGCGCCGUAGCUAACGCUUUAAGUACCCCGCCUGGGGAGUACGGCCGCAAGGCUAAAACUCAAAGGAAUUGACGGGGCCCCGCACAAGCGGCGGAGCAUGCGGAUUAAUUCGAUGCAACGCGUAGAACCUUACCUGGGUUUGACAUGGAUCGGGAGUGCUCAGAGAUGGGUGUGCCUCUUUUGGGGUCGGUUCACAGGUGGUGCAUGGCUGUCGUCAGCUCGUGUCGUGAGAUGUUGGGUUAAGUCCCGCAACGAGCGCAACCCUUGUUCACUGUUGCCAGCACGUUAUGGUGGGGACUCAGUGGAGACCGCCGGGGUCAACUCGGAGGAAGGUGGGGAUGACGUCAAGUCAUCAUGCCCCUUAUGUCCAGGGCUUCACGCAUGCUACAAUGGCUGGUACAGAGAGUGGCGAGCCUGUGAGGGUGAGCGAAUCUCGGAAAGCCGGUCUCAGUUCGGAUUGGGGUCUGCAACUCGACCUCAUGAAGUCGGAGUCGCUAGUAAUCGCAGAUCAGCAACGCUGCGGUGAAUACGUUCCCGGGGCU